AGCGAACGCUGGCGGCAGGCUUAACACAUGCAAGUCGAGCGGGCACUUUCGGGUGUCCGCGGCGGACGGGUGAGUAACGCGUGGGAACGUGCCCUCUGGUUCGGAAUAACUCAGGGAAACUUGAGCUAAUACCGGAUACGCCCUCUUGGGGAAAGGCUUGCUGCCGGAGGAUCGGCCCGCGUCUGAUUAGCUAGUUGGUGAGGUAACGGCUCACCAAGGCGACGAUCAGUAGCUGGUCUGAGAGGAUGAUCAGCCACACUGGGACUGAGACACGGCCCAGACUCCUACGGGAGGCAGCAGUGGGGAAUAUUGGACAAUGGGCGCAAGCCUGAUCCAGCCAUGCCGCGUGAGUGAUGAAGGCCUUAGGGUUGUAAAGCUCUUUUAUCCGGGACGAUAAUGACGGUACCGGAGGAAUAAGCCCCGGCUAACUUCGUG
rnacentral:rRNA from 1 species